CAGACCGGAGGAACAUUUGAAUGUUGCACCUCUGACACCAGAUUUCAGUAAAUGCUGUUAUUGUAAAGUUGAUAUGGAAACAAUUGUGCAUUUCUUUUUGUUAUUUGUUGCUGUUACACAGGUGUUGAUUUAACUUUAGUUUCCAGGAUGCCUCCAGCUUUAUACACAUUUGGAUUUUUACUGCUCGUUCUUACAAGAAAAGUGGAGAGUGUUACCUUUGAACAGUCCUCUGCUCAAGUUGUGAAGGACGGGACCAAGGAGGUCACGAUUGAUUGCAGUCACGAUGACAGCAGCCUCCAAUAUAUGCUGUGGUACCAACACAAGCCGGGCAGUGGGUCUAUGAGCCUCAUUGGGUACUCAGUCCUCAAUGGUGAACCAAACUACGAGGUCCAGUUUAAAGACAGAUUCCAGAUAAAAAGCGGCAUGCAGAAAGGAUCUCUGAUCAUUCCAACAGCAAAUCUGUCAGACUCAGCUGUGUAUUUCUGCGCUGCUAGCACACAGUGAUGUGGUUUAAUACAAGUGCUUCACUAAAAACCUCCUACGACAUGGGAACAAUAACAGCUGUGGCUCUGGGUUCUAGUCAUUUGAGAUCGUGGAGAAAUCAAAUGUU